GUGGCGAACGACGCACUAUAUAACGCAGGAGAAAUUCAAAUCACCGAUGUACUGCAGGAAAAGGCGCACGUAGCAUUUUCAUCCACUAUGACUCCGACUAGGAUGCUAGCACACACGCUACUCGUUUUCUUUGUCGUUUUACUGGUCAAGCAGUCAAUCGACUAUUCACUGCACACCACCAAUGCUGUCGAUGUAGAGGUAUAUUGCGGCCAAAAGUGCACUUAUACAACGGAAGAGGAGAACAACGAGUGUCAGGAGAACUGCACAUGCCGACCUGAGAGUACUGACUUAUACGGAAACGGUGUUCGAGGUCCAGGAUUCUGCAUGCGUCAAUACACCGAGGGCGACAAACCAUAAACAACAAUUGGUGGACGGUGAUUCUAUGCUAGAAUGGAUGGACGGAAAACGUUAUUAUGAUCCCUCGGAACGCGCUCUAGCACCUUGAGGGCCGCUCCCGCGUCAGAACAGGAAGAUGAAGUCUCUCUGCUGCAGUAAAAAGUAAAAUUGUUGUG